rnacentral:rRNA from 1 species
AUUGAACGCUGGCGGCAGGCCUAACACAUGCAAGUCGAGCGGAUGAAGGGAGCUUGCUCCUGGAUUCAGCGGCGGACGGGUGAGUAAUGCCUAGGAAUCUGCCUGGUAGUGGGGGAUAACGUCCGGAAACGGGCGCUAAUACCGCAUACGUCCUGAGGGAGAAAGUGGGGGAUCUUCGGACCUCACGCUAUCAGAUGAGCCUAGGUCGGAUUAGCUAGUUGGUGGGGUAAAGGCCUACCAAGGCGACGAUCCGUAACUGGUCUGAGAGGAUGAUCAGUCACACUGGAGCUGAGACACGGUCCAGACUCCUACGGGAGGCAGCAGUGGGGAAUAUUGGACAAUGGGCGAAAGCCUGAUCCAGCCAGGCCGCGUGUGUGAAGAAGGUCUUCGGAUUGUAAAGCACUUUAAGUUGGGAGGAAGGGCAGUAAGUUAAGACCUUGCUGUUUUGACGUUACCAACAGAAUAAGCACCGGCUAACUUCGUG